rnacentral:rRNA from 1 species
CGGACGGGUGAGUAAUGUCUGGGAAACUGCCUGAUGGAGGGGGAUAACUACUGGAAACGGUAGCUAAUACCGCAUAACGUCGCAAGACCAAAGAGGGGGACCUUCGGGCCUCUUGCCAUCGGAUGUGCCCAGAUGGGAUUAGCUAGUAGGUGGGGUAAAGGCUCACCUAGGCGACGAUCCUUAGCUGGUCUGAGAGGAUGACCAGCCACACUGGAACUGAGACACGGUCCAG